UACGAAGGGGGCUAGCGUUGCUCGGAAUUACUGGGCGUAAAGGGCGCGUAGGCGGUUCUGUUAGUCAGGCGUGAAAUUCCUGGGCUUAACCUGGGGGCUGCGCUUGAUACGGCGGGACUGGAGGAUGGAAGAGGCUCGUGGAAUUCCCAGUGUAGAGGUGAAAUUCGUAGAUAUUGGGAAGAACACCGGUGGCGAAGGCGGCGAGCUGGUCCAUUACUGACGCUGAGGCGCGACAGCGUGGGGAGCAAACAGG
rnacentral:rRNA from 1 species